AAAGCAUCUCUUCUGUGUUCCUGUCCCUCCAUCUGAUCCUCACAGCAGUUGAGGAGAAUCUGAGAGAAUCUGAGAGGCGUUGAGUGGUUGAAAAUUGCCUGAUCUCCAUCAGCAUUUGAACCUGAGUCUCCCCAGUUUUAGACUAACUAAAGUGACAGAUUGAAGAUCAGAAGGCAAAGAGGCACCAAAAAGCCAUUGGGGAUGGAUAAGAAAAAAAGUUAUAUAGUUUUUGUUGACAGAUCUUCUGUCCACCCACUACUAACAUCUUCAAAAAACAAUACAGUCCCAAUUGAGAUCUGAUUUCUAGACAGGAAGUAUAAACAAUGACUUGAAAGGCUGGUGGACCUGCUUUGGAAUCAGCUGCUGGCCACCUCGAAACAAAGCGACACUAUGUGCACCUACGUGGAGCAGCCAGAGGAGACAAGAAAAAUACACGACUGCUUUAAUGAUGUGAAAAGAGGUGCUUCAUGUGGGCUGCUCUGCUUUCCAAGCAUUUGUUUCAAAGGACUUGCACAGUCCAAAAUAAUCAUAUUAACUGUACCUGUUUAAUUUAAUUUGGGUUAAAUAUAAAUGAAAAUUAAAUCACAUCUGAAAUUUAAUAUGGACCGAAAUCCUUAUACCAUCUGCGUGGUAUAACAAUGGUAUGCAACUAACAUAACCGACGUGCCACUUUCACAAAAUUUUCUGAAGAUUUUUUAAAAUUGUGAAACCAAUGAUUGCUUGAAGCCUUGUACAGUAUACAGAGUUAGAAAACAUGUGACUAAAUAAUUAAAAGAAGGGGAAGAGGGAAUCAUGACCUACAAGCUGAACUGAGCUGUACUGGGAAAUUAGGUUUGCAAACUAUGUUUCUUCAAAUUGCUUUAAAACUGUACUUUAACCUGAUAGAGCUUGCAAGCCAGAAGUGGGCAGCUAGGGCUUUCCAUCUAAUUUCAGGGGACCAUCAGCUUAAUUUCAGAAGCCAUCUGCAGAUUAUUAAUUUAGAUUUCUGGUAAGAGCUAUCCUGUCCAUGCCAUUCAAGCUCAGGGGUUUGCUUUCAGUAUCAGAUUAUUUCCAAAGAAUACAAUUCUCAAGGGAAGAAAGCUUAUGUAUCCUUGCUGUGAGGCAUGGUGGACUCAAAUGCUGGAUUUUGAGCAGGGAACUUUUCAUGGUGUUUCCCUGCUCACUGGAGGGAUUUUGCCCACGUUUUCUGCCCCAUAAAGUACCUGUAGUCAAUAUUUACCAACACUUACUCCCUUCUUCUACCAUAGGGUAAGGCAGGAAGCGGCUUCUAUCAUGGGGUGGUGGUGGUGGUGGUGGAAAGUAAUACAACCAAGCAGUAAUUCCCACACAAUAUUUAGCUACACAAAUUAGCAAAGCAAACA